rnacentral:rRNA from 1 species
CCGGGAAUAUUGGUUAAUGUGCGAAAGCGCGAACCAGCAACGCCGCGUGUGCGAUGAAGGCCUUCGGGUCGUAAAGCACUUUUUGCAGGGACGAGGAAGGACGGUACCUGCAGAAUAAGUCUCGGCUAACUACGUGCCUGCAGCCGCGGUAAAACGUAGGAGACGAGCGUUAUCCGGAUUUACUGGGCGUAAAGCGCGUGCAGGCGGCAUGGCAAGUUGGAUGUGAAAGCUCCCGGCUUAACUGGGAGAGGUCGUUCAAUACUGCCAGGCUUGAGAGUGGUAGAGGGAAGCGGAAUUCCGGGUGUAGUGGUGAAAUGCGUAGAUAUCCGGAGGAACACCAGUGGCGAAAGCGGCUUCCUGGCCCAUUUCUGACGCUCAGACGCGAAAGCUAGGGUAGCAAACGG